GACAGAGGGUGCAAACGUUGUUCGGAAUUACUGGGCGUAAAGCGCGCGUAGGCGGACCUGCAAGUCGGGGGUGAAAGCCCGAGGCUCAACCUCGGAACUGCCUUCGAUACUGCGGGUCUCGAGUCCGGGAGAGGUGAGUGGAAUUCCUAGUGUAGCGGUGAAAUGCGCAGAUAUCAGGAGGAACACCGGUGGCGAAGGCGGAUCUCUGGGCCAUUACUGACGCUGAGGAGCGAAAGCAUGGGGAGCGAACAGG
rnacentral:rRNA from 1 species